rnacentral:misc_RNA from 1 species
UGGUUGCAUCCUUUAAUUUUGGAAAUGCAUUAUUAUUUACUAAUCUACUAUUCACUUGUUGAUGAAUAUGUUAAGUUAAUUCUGUGAUGUAUAUUUCUUGUGUUAUUCUUUUGACGACAUAUUUUCAUUAAACAUACCAAUCCAGUGUAAAAGAAGGAAGUAUUGGCAUUAAUUGAUCAAAUGAUGGACCGUUUGGCUAUUAAGCCUAAUACUAGAUUUUUCUUGACUAUGGUGUUGUGAGG